GUGGGGAAUAUUGCGCAAUGGGCGGAAGCCUGACGCAGCAACGCCGCGUGAGGGAUGACGGCCUUCGGGUUGUAAACCUCUUUCAGCAGGGACGAAGCGGAAGUGACGGUACCUGCAGAAGAAGCACCGGCCAACUACGUGCCAGCAGCCGCGGUAAGACGUAGGGUGCGAGCGUUGUCCGGAAUUAUUGGGCGUAAAGGGCUCGUAGGCGGUUUGUCGCGUCGAAAGUGAAAUUCCGAGGCUCAACUUCGGAUCUGCUUUCGAUACGGGCAGACUAGAGGUAGGCAGGGGAGAGUGGAACCCCAGGUGUAGCGGUGGAAUGCGCAGAUAUCUGGGAGAACACCGGUGGCGAAGGCGGCUCUCUGGGCCUUACCUGACGCUGAGGAGCGAAAGCGUGGGGAGCGAACAGG
rnacentral:rRNA from 1 species